UCUCAAAAGCCUGACCUACCCUCUCAAAAGCAAGAUAAGCAGGAUAAGCGUCCUCUUGACACAAAAGAUCCUUGCAAGUCACCUCCUAGGAAGAAACAAAAGAGUCAGGGAACGAUGUGGCUGAAGACCCUAGAUCUAAACCUCUUUGACAAACAAGUGUUGAGUGCAAUAGGUGGUAUGCUCUCCGACAAGCAUAUGCGUGCAUCCCACCAGUUAUUAUCGAUGCAAUUCCUUAAGUUUGAAGGCUGCUAUAAUACUCUCUUGGCCCAAUUAAAGGCAUUUCCACCAGUUUCCAAUAAUCAAGGCCCAGCUGUGCAAAUCUUCUUUGUUGAAGAACGACAGCACUGGAUUGCCAC